rnacentral:rRNA from 1 species
AGCGAACGCUGGCGGCGUGCUUAACACAUGCAAGUCGAGGGAGAACGGAGGGCUUCGGCCUUCUUAGUAAACCGGCGCACGGGUGAGUAACACGUAGGUAACCUACCUCCGAGUUCGGGAUAACCUGUCGAAAGAUAGGCUAAUACCGGAUAAGACCACGAUGGCUUCGGCCACUGCGGUCAAAGAUGGCCUCUAUUUAUACGCUAUCGCUUGGGGAUGGGCCUGCGCACCAUUAGCUAGUUGGUGAGGUAACGGCUCACCAAGGCUACGAUGGUUAGUUGGUCUGAGAGGAUGACCAGCCACACUGGGACUGAGACACGGCCCAGACUCCUACGGGAGGCAGCAGUGGGGAAUAUUGCGCAAUGGGGGGAAACCCUGACGCAGCGACGCCGCGUGGGUGAUGAAGGCCU